GUGUUUCCUGUAGAGCAGAUAGCAGUAAUGAUAAGGUGUUUCCUGUAGAGCAGACGGCAGUAAUGAUGAGGUGUUUCCUGUAGAGCAGACGGCAGUAAUGAUGAGGUGUUUCCUGUAGAGCAGACGGCAGUAAUGAUGAGGUGUUUCCUGUAGAGCAGAUAGCUGUGGUUUAGCUGCUUUCACCUACUUGAUGAUUAACCCCAAUCCUCUUCUGUCUGUUCUGUGCAUCCACAGGGCAGUGGGAUGUAUCUAUCCCCAGUCUCUACUGAUGUAUCUAUCCCCAGUCUCUACUGAUGUAUCUAUCCCCAGUCUCUACUGAUGUAUCUAUCCCCAGUCUCUACUGAUGUAUCUAACCCCAGUCUCUACUGAUGUAUCUAUCCCCAGUCUCUACUGAUGUAUCUAUCCCCAGUCUCUACUGAUGUAUCUAUCCCCAGUCUCUACUGAUGUAUCUAACCCCAGUCUCUACUGAUGUAUCUAACCCCAGUCUCUACUGAUGUAUCUAACCCCAGUCUCUACUGAUGUAUCUAUCCCCAGUCUCUACUGAUGUAUCUAACCCCAGUCUCUACUGAUGUAUCUAUCCCCAGUCUCUACUGAUGUAUCUAUCCCCAGUCUCUACUGAUGUAUCUAUCCCCAGUCUCUACUGAUGUAUCUAUCCCCAGUCUCUA
rnacentral:lncRNA from 1 species